AUUUAGUUUUUAAUUAAGAAAACCCAUUUUAAUAAAAACAUAAAACUUGUGCUUAAAAAAAAUGAAAACAGAAAACGUUAUCGUCUCUUCCAAACCUAUGAUUCAAUUUCACUAAAGAUCUGAUUUCAUUCAAUCAUUAGCUUUCUAGGGUUUGAUAGAAUUGGGGAAUCAUGAGUUUCUCUAAAAUUCUUUGAUGUUCGGUGAUUAGGGUUUGGGUUUUAUUGGGUUGGUCAUCUCGUGUCUUCCUUACUCUUGAUUCAACUCUGAAGCUCUGAAGCUCUCAAUCUCGUCUCUUGUCUCUCACUCUUUCAACCCUUCGAAGCUCUUAAGCUCGAUUUUGAGCUUUUGAGUUUGAGAAGAAGCGUGAGCUGCUUAGGAGUAGCACGUCUCAAGCAAGCUACUGAAGAGGAUCUUCUCAAGUGGCUCAAGUCGUUGGCGAUUUGAGGUUGCUCGAUUCAACUCUGAAGCUUUGAAACUCUCAAUCGUCUCUUGUCUCUCACUCUCUCAACUGUUUGAAGCUCUGAAGCUCUGAAGCUCUCAAUCUCUUUCUCCCGAGGCACGUUCUGUUGGCAGUGAUUUUGGAUAUGGAAAAUGAAGAAGAAUAUCGAGAAUCAACAGGUACAUUUUCUAAUACUGCAAAGAGAAGAAAAACAUCGAAUAUGUGAAAAUAUUUUAGAGCAGAAAAAGAUGAGAAUGAGGAAGAGAGAGCAUAUUGUCUGAAAUGCUCAACACUGUAAUUAUUAUUAGAAAGUAAAAACCACUACAUAAAAUUAUUAUUUAUAUACAUUUUAUUUGUCUCAGCUUGGAGGUGUAAAGAGCCAUCUUGCUAGUUGGUAGUUUGGUUCAUAAGCUAAGGGAAUAACAUUAAUUAAAACUUUUUUUAAUCCUCUUAACUAUUUUUCUAUUGUUUGUUGUCUUUUUUAUUUCCUUUCUAUAUUGGGAAAUUUGAUUCAGUAACAAAAAAAAUUAACUAAAUGUCCAUUACAAUUCAAUGGUUAGGGUAUACCUUAUACAAUAUAUAUUAGUUGCCUUUUUUCUCUAUAUCUAGGUUUAUGUUGUGGUUUUUUUUUCUUUUUUUUUUUACAUCAUGUUUCUCUUUCAAUUUUUUAAUAGCUUUUAGUUUGUCUUAAAACAAUUAUUUAGUUUUCUAUUUUGAUGUUUUACAUUUUUUAAAAAGAUAUAUAUUUUUUAUAAAUUUUAUUUAUAUUACAUAAACUGAAUUUUAAAUCUGUAUUAUAUUAUACAUUAAUUUGCAAAUGAGACAUUAUUUGUUGUUUCUAUUAUAUUUAGUAAAUAUAAAUAGAAAUGUAAUUUUACAAUCGGUCAUUCUCUUUAUUUCCCUCACACUCACAUUUGAUUUUGCCAUGUUCGAAAAUUUGCUAGGCGUUAUCCGUGCGCUCGGGUUGGACCUAGCGAUUAAUGAAAAAAUCAGAGAUUAAUCGAGGAUUAAUCGCGGAUUAGUUUUAGGGCAUUUAUAUGUAUGUAAGAGUUAUAUACUAACUAUCUCUACCAAUCUCAUUUUUUAUUCCUAGUCUAGUGGCUUCUCCUUAACCUAAAGUCUCACACGACCCGGGUUCGAGUAUCAGAGUGGCCUACUCUUUCAUUGUUGUAAGUGCUAGGUUAAAUAAAUGCAAAAUAACGAAAAUAACCCCAUUUUCAACCUUGCGCUCUGCGAUUUUGGUAACUGUUUUUCCUUUUUUCUUUGCUUGCUAAUAUUAUGCGUGUAACAAAAAUAGACCAAAUCUAUCACAUCUUUUGCGAUUUCGAACUAAAAAUUAGCUUUUAUUUUUUAUCCGAUGAAAAUCAACCGAAUUGGAGUAAAACGCCAUGGUGUGCCACUUGGUCAUGCUUUUCCGGCGAGUAUACAGCUGCCAAAAACGCGUUUUCGAACAGGGGAUUUUUGCAACCAUUCUAUUUGCACAUAAAAAAUAGAAUAGUAUUUUAUACUUUACUGUUGGCAAAGCUCACUAAGACCCUAACAAGUGUUUCACGUCCACUUAAGCUGAAGGAGAAGGGUGUUUUCCUAUGUGCAUAUAUGUCACAUCUUAUGUUAUGGUAAUUUACUUAAUUUUCCCUAGUAGCUAGUACAUUAAUUCACCCAAAUAUUAAAUUAAUUUGGCAUUUUCUUUUACACAAAAAACAUUGAAGUCACGCUUCAUCAAUAUCUAUGCUCAGGUAAAAUUUUGCCAAAAUUAUACUUUUAGUUUAUGACCAAGGGGCUCGAUAGAAUCCUUGAUCAAAAAGUGGAAGUGUUUUUCCAAACUCUUCCAAAUAAUAUUUUUAAAAAUGUUUUUUUUUAUAUCAUUGAUCCGGUCAGUCUCGCAAGAACGCUUUAGUUCUACGGAGUGAACUGAUUAUCACACUGUCUGACCCGAAUUUGGAAUGCCUUCCAACUAAUAGUAUAGGGUGGACCGAUCGUCUAUUACAGCCUAUCAUGUUAAUCAUUUGGGCUAAAGCCCAAG